GACCCAGUGGUGCACGGUGCACGCCCACAAAAUUUGUCAGGUCUGAAAAUUCAAUUAAGUGGGAGAUCCCCGUUCGAUUCGGGGCUGGGUCA